rnacentral:lncRNA from 1 species
UAGAAAUGUACCACAAGUGAAAAAUUGUUAUGCAAACAUUAUUGUGGCUGUGAAUGACAUAUAUCCAAAUUAUAAUGUUCACUGUAACCUUUUCAAAAUGGGGGAUUGAACUGCUCUUUUAAGGCAAAUGAACUCACUCACCUUUGCAACUCCAAAUGCUAUAUGUCUCAGUCCUUAAAACCAGUGCGAAUAUUCUUAAACCACCACACAAUACCCUCAAUUGAUGCUUCCGAUCACUCCAACUACGGCUUGCGACCCGAACCCCAAAUUUGACAAAUAAAACACACAAAAAUGAGAUUAGGGUUUAGGAUUUUCACAAUUAAACAUUUACUAAGCAUUAGGGUUUACUUACAAGGUUCUCUUUCAACACCCAACUACGGCACCGCACCGAACAACUAGAUUAAAGAUUGAUGAACGACACACUUCGAGAGAUAGAGACGACGAACAACCAAAGCCACACCGAAGAGGGCUCGAGACAGCAACACCACAAAGAGGGCUCGACAGAGGGCUUUAAGAGAAACCGACAGGGAUCGACAAUGGGCUUUAAGAGAAAGCACCAGGGUUCGAUAGAGAAAAGAAAGCACGCCUCGCCAGGGUUCAGGAUGGUUCGAGAGAGAGAACAAACAUCGAUGAUGGUUCAAGAAAGAGGGCAAAGCUCCAGCUUCAGAAAUGAGAGAGUGAAUAUAGGUUCAGCUUCCACGUAAGCAGAAAUUCAUUUUUUAAAAAAAUAUAUUUCCUUAAUCUGUAUAUAAAUUCCGCAGAUAACACCUGCUUCAAACUAUAUACGGAUAACUUAUGUUAUAUACGGAUCCUAUCCUUGGAUAACUUUCCCGCCACCCCGCGCCAACAUUAUAUA